UACGUAGGGACCAAGCGUUGUUCGGAUUUACUGGGCGUAAAGGGCGCGUAGGCGGCAAUUCAAGUCAUCUGUGAAAUCUCCGGGCUUAACUCGGAACGGUCAGAUGAUACUGCUUUGCUCGAGUGCGGAAGGGGCAAUCGGAAUUCUUGGUGUAGCGGUGAAAUGCGUAGAUAUCAAGAGGAACACCUGAGGUGAAGGCGGGUUGCUGGGCCGACACUGACGCUGAAGCGCGAAAGCCAGGGGAGCAAACGGG
rnacentral:rRNA from 1 species